UACGUAGGGCGCAAGCGUUGUCCGGAAUUAUUGGGCGUAAAGAGCUCGCAGGCGGUCUGUCGCGUCGAAUGUGAAAACCCGGGGCUCAACUCCGGGCUUGCAUUCGAUACGGGCAGGCUAGAGUUCGGUAGGGGAGUCUGGAAUUCCUGGUGUAGCGGUGAAAUGCGCAGAUAUCAGGAGGAACACCGGUGGCGAAGGCGGGACUCUGGGCCGAUACUGACGCUGAGGAGCGAAAGCGUGGGGAGCGAACAGG
rnacentral:rRNA from 1 species